UUCAUCAUUUUCCUUUUUUCACAGAUUUUGUUUGUUCAGACUGUUUCCUCCAUAGAAGAAAUGAUAUGCUUGAAAAGAAGGGUCUCAAAUCCCCAUUUUAUUUAAUGAUUGGAACCACUAUUGUUGGUUUAAUUUUUCAGAUCUGAAUAAUAAUGGUUUUAAUUUUUGUUUUAUGUUGCUUUCUCAAGUAUUUUCUUUGACUCAUUUGUUUUUAAUAAAAUGACAGAAUCUAUUUGUGAGAACAGGAAGAUGAAGAAGGAAGAGUAUGAAGUUUGAGAAAGCGCGUCUUAGGGGAAGUAAAGGAGGAGGACCAACGAAGAAAGCUAUGACCAGAUCCGUCAGAUCCGGACUUCAAUUUCCCGUCAGAAAAAUUGGUUGUUACUUUAAGAAAGGUCCGGUUUGAAUGUAUAUUUGGACUCAUAAGCUCGACUUGGACUAUCUACGUUUUUUUGGUGUAGAUUCAAUUACAGGCAGCGAUGCAGGGCUGAAGUUUGCUUCGAAUGGUUUAAGGUAAUGUGUAUGCCCUGUUUUUACUCGACAUGAUUUUGACUAAAUUGAACUGAAUGUGAGUAUGGUUGAAUUUGGUUUGAUUUGAUUUUGCAUGUUGGAAGAUAGUUGAAGGAUCCAGUGAGUGUGAGAAGUUAGUUUUUCUCAAAACAGUUUUUCGCCAUUUUCUUAUCAAAUCAUAUUAGGACAUACUACAGAUUAUUAUGUUUUCUUAUAAUCCUGCUGCUCAAUUAUAUCAUUCUGAUCAAUAUGUUUUCUAUGCUGCAAGUUCGCUCAAGACGUGUAGCUGAUUUAUAUGUUGAAUUGCAUGGUUUGAGGUAUUGAAAUUUGGUUAUUUCUAUGCUGCAAGUUCGCUCAAGACGUGUAGUUUCUUAUGACAUUUUCAUUUCAUUCUAACAAGCUUACCUUAAUGCAAAGGAUUUGAAUCCAUCACUAUUGUCUUAAGAGCAUGUUCUUGAACCCUAACUCCCAAUUUCUCUGCUUCUCAGUCAGAAGAGUAUCAAAUAAAGUUCAAAAGUAAAAAAUGUGUUGAUUAUGGUUGUUUCGAUUCUGCUGGUGAUGGUUGGUGUUCGGCACAUUUUCGGAACUCUUUAAAGAAAGCAGAUGACUUUUUGAAGGAACAGCACACACAGACUAUUUCAAGUAUGUCCACCAAGUGUUGACGAAAUUAUGUAGGGAUUAUGAAAUAUGGAGGAGGAAUAUUCUUGAGAAAUGUAAUUAUUAUAUUGUAAACGAUAUGCAGUGUGUUUUUGAAGGGAUCAUGAUGAGUUUAGUGUAACAGGUUAUGUUUGUAGAGACAGGCUGUGAAGUUUAUGUUACUUUGAAGGUGGGAUGGUGAGGUUUGAAUAAGGUUUAUUUUGUUUUA